rnacentral:rRNA from 1 species
AGCGAACGCUGGCGGCAGGCCUAACACAUGCAAGUCGAACGAAGUCUUCGGACUUAGUGGCGGACGGGUGAGUAACACGUGGGAACGUGCCUUUAGGUUCGGAAUAACUCAGGGAAACUUGUGCUAAUACCGAAUGUGCCCUUCGGGGGAAAGAUUUAUCGCCUUUAGAGCGGCCCGCGUCUGAUUAGCUAGUUGGUGAGGUAAAGGCUCACCAAGGCUACGAUCAGUAGCUGGUCUGAGAGGAUGACCAGCCACAUAGGGACUGAGACACGGUCCAAACUCCGACGGGAGGCAGCAGGGGGGAAUCUUGCGCAAUGGGCGAAAGCCUGACGCAGCCAUGCCGCGUGGAUGAUGAAGGUCUUAGGAUUGUAAAAUCCUUUCACCGGUGAAGAUAAUGACUGUAGCCGGAGAAGAAGCCCCGGCUAACUUCGUGCCAGCCGCCGCAGUAAGAC